AACGAACGCUGGCGGCAUGCCUAACACAUGCAAGUCGAACGAGAUUUUCGGGUCUAGUGGCGCACGGGUGCGUAACGCGUGGGAAUCUGCCCUUUGGUUCGGAAUAACAGUUGGAAACGACUGCUAAUACCGGAUGAUGACGAAAGUCCAAAGAUUUAUCGCCAGAGGAUGAGCCCGCGUAGGAUUAGCUAGUUGGUGUGGUAAAGGCGCACCAAGGCGACGAUCCUUAGCUGGUCUGAGAGGAUGAUCAGCCACACUGGGACUGAGACACGGCCCAGACUCCUACGGGAGGCAGCAGUGGGGGAUAUUGGACAAUGGGCGAAAGCCUGAUCCAGCAACGCCGCGUGAGUGAUGAAGGCCUUAGGGUUGUAAAGCUCUUUUACCCGGGAUGAUAAUGACAGUACCGGGAGAAUAAGCUCCGGCUAACUCCGUGCCAGCCGCCGCAGUAAUAC
rnacentral:rRNA from 1 species